CCUACGGGUGGCAGCAGUGAGGAAUAUUGGUCAAUGGACGAGAGUCUGAACCAGCGAAGUAGCGUGAAUGAUGACUGCCCUAUGGGUUGUAAACUUCUUUUAUAUGGGAAUAAAAUGUUCCGCGUGUGGGAGUUUGUAUGUACCAUAUGAAUAAGGAACGGCUAACUCCGUGCCAGCAGCAGCGGUAAUACGGAGGAUCCGAGCGUUUUCCGGAUUUAUUGGGGUUAAAGGGGGCGUAGGGGGAUUAUUAAGUCAGUUGUGAAAGUUUGCGGCUCAACCGUAAAACUGCAGUUGAAACUGGAUGUCUUGAGUACAGUAGAGGUGGGAGGAAUUCGUGGUGUAGCGGUGAAAUGCUUAGAUAUCACGAAGAACUCCGAUUGCGAAGGCAGUUCACUGGACUGCAACUGACACUGAGGCUCGAAAGUGUGGGUAUCAAACAGGAUUAGAUACCCUAGUAGUC
rnacentral:rRNA from 1 species